AUGCAACCUAAAAUUGUAAGUGCGGGAUCAUUCACAUGUUCAUGCUUCAUUUUGUUUGUUCAGGGUAUUGUCAUCUUUAUGAAGCGAUCAUUCAUGAAUGGACUCAGCAAGUGCGAGAUAUGUUAAUUUGAAGAAGUUUGCUCUGGCCGAGUACUAUUCAAAGCUGUCAGGCGAAUCUUCCAUGGCGAGAUGGAGAAUACUUAUUGUCUAACACGGUGGAGUUUUGUUCCAUCCCAAAACUCUGAUUUUUCCUGGGGAUCAUAUACGAUAGAUAUCAAAACGCCUUAAGCAUGCACAACGCACAGACUGCUAAUAACCGAGCCACAGAAUCCUUGAGGCAAAUGCAGGAUGCUUCAUUAAUCUUACAUAGCCUAUGGUUCUCAUUAAUCAACUACAACUCUUCAAUUUUUGUCAUUAAUUAAUAAAUGGACCUUGGAUCUUUCAGCUUGUAACAGAAAUGUUGAUAUGAUUCUGUUUGUACCAUGUAUUCUUUAUCUAAGCAUCAUACUCUGCUCUAUGAGGAAUCAUAUUAGUUUUCUA